rnacentral:rRNA from 1 species
ACGGGAGGCAGCAGUGGGGAAUAUUGCACAAUGGGGGAAACCCUGAUGCAGCGACGCCGCGUGAGCGAAGAAGUAUUUCGGUAUGUAAAGCUCUAUCAGCAGGGAAGAAGAAAUGACGGUACCUGACUAAGAAGCACCGGCUAAAUACGUGCCAGCAGCCGCGGUAAUACGUAUGGUGCAAGCGUUAUCCGGAUUUACUGGGUGUAAAGGGAGCGCAGGCGGAAGGCUAAGUCUGAUGUGAAAGCCCGGGGCUCAACCCCGGUACUGCAUUGGAAACUGGUCAUCUAGAGUGUCGGAGGGGUAAGUGGAAUUCCUAGUGUAGCGGUGAAAUGCGUAGAUAUUAGGAGGAACACCAGUGGCGAAGGCGGCUUACUGGACGAUAACUGACGCUGAGGCUCGAAAGCGUGGGGAGCAAACAGGAUUAGAUACCCUGGUA